GAGAGUCUAACCUGCCCGGUGAUAUUAAUUUAACGGCCGCAGUACUCUGACUGUGCAAAGGUAGCAUAAUCAUUUGCCUUAUAAUUGAAGGCUUGUAUGAAUGGUUUCACAAGAGUCACCCUGUCUCUCACAAAUUAAAAUGAAAUUGACUUUUAGGUGCAAAGGCCUAAAUAUUACUAAUAGACAAGAAGACCCUAUUGAGCUUUAAAAAUUUGUAAUAACAUAUACUAUAUUGAAAAUAAGAUUGUAAGUUGUUAAGGUUUUUGGUUGGGGCGACUAGGGAACAAAUAAAGCUUCCAAAAUAUGUUAUAAUGGUUAAUAUUAAUUUGUUAGAAUUGGAUCCAAAGUGUUUUGAUUAAUAGAAUAAGUUACCAUAGGGAUAACAGCAUAAUCUAUCUUAAGAGCUCUAAUCGAAAGAAAGGUUUGUGACCUCGAUGUUGGAUUAAAAUGUCCUAAGGGUGUAGAAGCUCUUAACGGUUGGUCUGUUCG
rnacentral:rRNA from 1 species